rnacentral:misc_RNA from 1 species
AAGUCGUAACAAGGUUUCCGUAGGUGAACCUGCGGAAGGAUCAUUACCAAUCUUAAAGCUAGGCUCUUUGAGCCUAUCAACCCUUGUGAACUGUUCAAUCCCGAUCCCUGCGCUUGAUGUUUUGGAUCUCGAGCUCGAACCGACGGCUUGCCUAGCUUCCGUCGGCUCUCGAGCUCGGGCCGAAGUUUUUGAGCCUGGGAGAGGGGACCACUCCCUGGGGAGACGGAGAGCCCGGCUCUGGCUUGGCUCAAAGUUGAACCAGGGAAUGGAUUUCUUUUGACCUGUCUUUUUUCAGUAUGUUUGAUGCGGUUCGCAGCCGAAAGGCGGAACUUUUUGAAAUUGAAUACAACUUUCAGCAACGGAUCUCUUGGUUCUC